ensembl:snRNA U6 U6 spliceosomal RNA
GUGCCUGCUUUGGCAGCACAUACACUAAAAUUGGAAUGAUACAGAGAUUAGCAUGGCACCUGUGAGAGGAUGACAAGCAGAUUCAUAAAGCAAUCCUUAUUUUU